rnacentral:rRNA from 1 species
UACGUAGGAGGCAAGCGUUGUCCGGAAUUACUGGGCGUAAAGCGCGUGUAGGUGGUGGGACAAGUCUGCUGUGAAAGCGCCUGGCUUAACCGGGCGAGGUCGGCGGAAACUGUCCGACUCGAGGACGGUAGAGGGGGGUGGAAUUCCCGGUGUAGUGGUGAAAUGCGUAGAGAUCGGGAGGAACACCUGUGGCGAAGGCGGCCACCUGGGCCGACCCUGACGCUGAGGCGCGAAGGCGUGGGGAGCGAACGGG